UAGGGAAUCUUCGGCAAUGGGGGGAACCCUGACCGAGCAACGCCGCGUGAGUGAAGAAGGUUUUCGGAUCGUAAAGCUCUGUUGUUAAGGAAGAACGAGUGUGAGAAUGGAAAGUUCAUACUGUGACGGUACUUAACCAGAAAGGGACGGCUAACUACGUGCCAGCAGCCGCGGUAAUACGUAGGUCCCGAGCGUUGUCCGGAUUUAUUGGGCGUAAAGCGAGCGCAGGCGGUUAGAUAAGUCUGAAGUUAAAGGCAGUGGCUCAACCAUUGUAGGCUUUGGUAACUGUUUAACUUGAGUGCAGAAGGGGAGAGUGGAAUUCCAUGUGUAACGGUGAAAUGCGUAGAUAUAUGGAGGAACACCAGUGGCGAAGGCGACUCUCUGGUCUGUAACUGACGCUGAGGCUCGAAAGCGUGGGUAGCAAACAGG
rnacentral:rRNA from 1 species